CCUACGGGCGGCAGCAGUGGGGAAUAUUGGACAAUGGGGGCAACCCUGAUCCAGCCAUGCCGCGGGUGUGAAGAAGGCCCUCGGGUUGUAAAGCACUUUCAGUGAGGAAGAACGCCUGGUGGUUAAUACCCAUCAGGAAAGACAUCACUCACAGAAGAAGCACCGGCUAACUCCGUGCCAGCAGCCGCGGUAAUACGGAGGGUGCGAGCGUUAAUCGGAAUUACUGGGCGUAAAGCGCGCGUAGGUGGCUUGAUAAGCCGGUUGUGAAAGCCCCGGGCUCAACCUGGGAACGGCAUCCGGAACUGUCAAGCUAGAGUGCAGGAGAGGAAGGUAGAAUUCCCGGUGUAGCGGUGAAAUGCGUAGAGAUCGGGAGGAAUACCAGUGGCGAAGGCGGCCUUCUGGACUGACACUGACACUGAGGUGCGAAAGCGUGGGUAGCAAACAGGAUUAGAUACCCUAGUAGUC
rnacentral:rRNA from 1 species